AACGAGGCCGACCUGCGGCUGAGUUACCUGCGGAAGGAUCAUACCGAGUGAGGGCCCUCUGGGUCCAACCUCCCACCCGUGUCUAUUGUACCUUGUUGCUUCGGCGGGCCCGCCGUUUCGACGGCCGCCGGGGAGGCCUCGCGCCCCCGGGCCCGCGCCCGCCGAAGACCCCAACAUGAACGCUGUUCUGAAAGUAUGCAGUCUGAGUUGAUUAUCAUAAUCAGUUAAAACUUUUAACAA
rnacentral:misc_RNA from 1 species